rnacentral:rRNA from 1 species
GUGCCAGCCCNNNNNGNAAUACGGAGGGUGCAAGCGUUAAUCGGAAUUACUGNGCGUAAAGCGCACGCAGGCGGUCUGUCAAGUCGGAUGUGAAAUCCCCGGGCUCAACCUGGGAACUGCAUUCGAAACUGGCAGGCUGGAGUCUUGUAGAGGGGGGUAGAAUUCCAGGUGUAGCGGUGAAAUGCGUAGAGAUCUGGAGGAAUACCGGUGGCGAAGGCGGCCCCCUGGACAAAGACUGACGCUCAGGUGCGAAAGCGUGGGGAGCAAACAGGAUUAGAUACCCUGGUAGUCCACGCUGUAAACGAUGUCGACUUGGAGGUUGUUCCCUUGAGGAGUGGCUUCCGGAGCUAACGCGUUAAGUCGACCGCCUGGGGAGUACGGCCGCAAGGUUAAAACUCAAAUGAAUUGACGGGGGCCCGCACAAGCGGUGGAGCAUGUGGUUUAAUUCGAUGCAACGCGAAGAACCUUACCUACUCUUGACAUCCUGAGAACUUAGCAGAGAUGCUUUGGUGCCUUCNNNAACUCUGAGACAGGUGCUGCAUGGCUGUCGUCAGCUCGUGUUGUGAAAUGUUGGGUUAAGUCCCGCAACGAGCGCAACNNUUAUNCUUUGUUGNCAGCGAUUAGGUCGGGAACUCNAAGGAGACUGNCAGUGAUAAACUGGAGGAANGUGGGGAUGACGUCNAGUCAUCAUGGCCCUUACGAGUAGGGCUACACACGUGCUACAAUGGCAUAUACAAAGAGAAGCGACCUCGCGAGAGCAAGCGGACCUCAUAAAGUAUGUCGUANUCCGGANUGGAGUCUGCNNCUCNACUCCNUGAAGUCGGAAUCGCUAGUAAUCGUGGAUCANAAUGCCNCGGUGAAUACNUUCCCGGGCCUUGUACACAC